rnacentral:rRNA from 1 species
AUUGAACGCUGGCGGCAGGCCUAACACAUGCAAGUCGAACGAGUGGCGGACGGGUGAGUAAUGUCUGGGAAACUGCCUGAUGGAGGGGGAUAACUACUGGAAAGGGUAGCUAAUCCCGCAUACCAUCGGGUGGGCCCAUAGGGGAUUAGCUUGUAGGUGGGGUAACGGCUCACCUAGGCGACGAUCCCUAGCUGGUCUGAGAGGAGGACCAGCCACACUGGAACUGAGACACGGUCCAGACUCCUACGGGAGGCAGCAGUGGGGAAUAUUGCAUAAUGGGCGCAAGCCUGAUGCAGCCAUGCCGCGUGUGUGAAGAAGGCCUUAGGGUUGUAAAGCACUUUCAGCGGGGAGGCGUUACCCGCAGAAGAAGCACCGGCUAACUCCGUGCCAGCCGCCGCGGUAAUAC